rnacentral:rRNA from 1 species
UUCCGGUUGAUCCUGCCGGACCUGACUGCUAUCGGAUUGAUACUAAGCCAUGCGAGUCUUUGUAGUAAUACAAGGCAGACGGCUCAGUAACACGUAGUCAACCUACCCUAUGGACGAGGAUAAUCUCGGGAAACUGAGGAUAAUACUCGAUAGAUCAUAAUGCCUGGAAUGGUUUAUGGUUAAAAUGAUUCGUCGCCAUAGGAUGGGACUGCGGCCUAUCAGCUUGUUGGUGAGGUAAUGGCCCACCAAGGCGAUUACAGGUACGGGCUCUGAGAGGAGAAGCCCGGAGAUGGGUACUGAGACAAGGACCCAGGCCCUAUGGGGCGCAGCAGGCGAGAAAACUUUGCAAUGUGCGAAAGCACGACAAGGUUAAUCCGAGUGAUUUCUGCUAAAGAGAUCUUUUACCAGUCAUAAAACCACUGGUGAAUAAGGGGUGGGCAAGUUCUGGUGUCAGCCGCCGCGGUAAAACCAGCACCUCAAGUGGUCAGGAUGAUUAUUGGGCCUAAAGCAUCCGUAGCCGGCUCUGUAAGUUUUCGGUUAAAUCCAUGUGCUCAACGCAUGGGCUGCCGAAAAUACUGCAUAGCUAGGGAGUGGGAGAGGUAGACGGUACUCAGUAGGAAGGGGUAAAAUCCUUUGAUCUAUUGAUGACCACCUGUGGCGAAGGCGGUCUACCAGAACACGUUCGACGGUGAGGGAUGAAAGCUGGGGGAGCAAACCGGAUUAGAUACCCGGGUAGUCCCAGCUGUAAACGAUGCAGACUCGAUGAUGCAUUGGCAUAUAGCCAGUGCAGUGUCGCAGGGAAGCCGUUAAGUCUGCCGCCUGGGAAGUACGUACGCAAGUAUGAAACUUAAAGGAAUUGGCGGGGGAGCACCACAAGGGGUGAAGCCUGCGGUUCAAUUGGAUUCAACGCCGGG